GUGUGCUGUAAAUAAUCUAGAUCUCUGCAUUUGAGCAGCGCGUGCUUGACAGCGGCACGCGCUGAUUGAUGUAGAUAUUGUAAAUAGAAACAGUCUUGAUCGAAACUCCGAGCUGGCGUGCCGUGUCUUCCUUUACCGGUGUGCCCGCUUGGUCCCCAGCCAGCGACCAUCUCGCGUCCCACGCGCCACGGCAAUGCUGGAGAGCUGCUGGUGUGCCCAGAGCAUGUCCUCGGAGACCUUGCCCGAGACCACAGACUCCAGGGCAACUGUCAGGGUGCAAUUGCUCGCAGAGGGGACCUGCAGUAAGAAGCAGCGACAUGAUUGGUUGCAGAUCUGCCCUUGGGGGGUCCUCACCCAAAGUCCGGGCCGUUCCCGGGGGGUCGGUCCUGCACCCCGGAGCGGAGCACGGGCACCGGGUGGAGAGGCACCAAGCGGAGCGGGACGGAUG